GCCAUUUCCGCUUCCGGGAGCAGGGACCGCAAUGGCGGUGCUGGCGUCCAACCCCAACAACCCCGUGGUCUUCUUCGAUGUCACCAUCGGCGGGCAGGAGGUCGGCCGCAUGAAGAUUGAGCUGUUUGCCGAUGUUGUACCCAAAACGGCAGAGAACUUCAGGCAGUUUUGUACGGGUGAAUUCAGGUAAGUGUGGGUUAUAGUGUCCUUUUAAGUAGCCUACUCAGGGAAACAGGGCUGGGUGAGUAGGAAGAAGGCUCGCUCGGAAGUUUUUCUUACUAUACCAGUACAAAACAGGAGAGUUACAGAAGCCUGCUCUGAUGAAAUUGCGACGGGCUCAGUUGGUCACAGAGAUGGCAAAAUUCUCCUUUUGGGCAUGACUUUGUUCAUGCUCAGGUUGCUCUAAAAAGCCUUGUCUGCAAAUCCCACCUGCUCAUGCUGCAAAUUGCAGUGGGAUCCCAUUAAGAUGAUGGGAUAGAUGUUAUAGGGAACUGUCAUUUAGCAUGCAGAGCCCACUUGAGGUUUGCCUUAGCCUCUGAUAUCCUCUUAGCCUUCUGACAGGAGGGGUGGAUGGGAGCUGGAGCAGCCUUGUCAGCAAGGGCUUGAAAGGCAAACUUAGUUCGAAAAAAAGCCAAGCGGCUUUUCCCUGGCUUGAGAUACAAUCUUGGUGGAUUACAGCUCUGAGCUCCGUCCCUACAUUUGAUUGAGUUUCACAGAGAUUUUAGACCCCUCUGCUUAAGGCAGCUUGUUUUCUCUCCGCAUUCAGCUGUGCGACCUCUCCGCGCGGCUGGAACUGGAGUCCCAAAAUGCUCUGCACCUCGAAGCUGCAAACCAGGAGCUGCAAGGGCUGGUGGCUCUUCUGCCACAUCGCUUGGCCACUCCAGGGGUGGGUCAUCCCCCAACAGCGCUUCAUGGAGGAGAGUGUGAGCAGCGAGCGCAAGAAGAAACGAGAGAGAAGCAACAUCUCGGGGAGCUUUGCAGGUCACUUUAGACUCAGGCAGCCGCUCAAGCCAAAACAGAAGAGGCCAACACCACUGACGCUUCUUGGAGAAAGCUGCUGGAGCAGAGAAUGAAAGCUCAGGAAUUGGACCUGGAGAGAGCACGGAGCCUGCAGGAGGCGAACGCACUGCAACUGGCGUUGGUGCAGGCAGAACUAAAAAGCUCCGAAAAGCGUUAUUUGUUGGGCCGCAAAAUUAGAAGCUGCCUCUCAAAGAAACUAAAAAAGGCUAAUGAGACGCUGGCGGAAGCCAGUGCUGAGAGCCGUCAGGAGCAGCAGCGCAGACUCGUCAGUCGCAAGGCCAAGAGCCUGAGCCAGAGCAGGGGACAGAGCGGAAACCCAUCGGGCUCAGUCACUGGUGAACAUGAAACCGGAUCUGCUGGGGAUUCUCCCUGGACGUCUCCUGCUGUUCCGCCAAAUUGAAACAAAGUCCAGGCUAUCCCCUUGCAGGGCAACACCGCCCGAUCGUGAUGCUCUGAGAACAAGUAUUAAAC